rnacentral:lncRNA from 1 species
GUGAAAACUGAAGGAGGUAAGAGUUGAGAAAGGGCAAACUUGUCUGAAGCAGUGUAUCCAUGGAUUAAGGAAGUACCGUUUCCUUUGCCAGCUCUGCCUGCUGAAAGAUGAGGAGGUGACAAUAACAUCUUCAUCAUCUACCUACAAAGGACAUGAUCAAGUCUAGGCCUUGCCUGGAAUACGGGGGGAUAAGACUAGGUUAGACUUGACUUGGCAGUAAAGCAGGUAUCACAAACUCACAUGCCAUAGGGACCAGCGAGUCAGGGAAUAGGUGCAGCCAGCUGGGUGAGAGACGAUACAGCAUGAUGAUGUCUGUGCCAAAGUGGAGAUCAAACCUACAGAAGGCCUCAAAUCCUAAACAUUUUUGAUAUGAUAAUGUGGUUUUACUUCCCUUUUAUUUUAUUUAUUUAUUUUUUUGGAGACAAGGUCUUGCUCUGUCACCCAGCCUGGAGUACAAUGGCACAAUCACAGCUCACUGCAGCCUCAAACACCCAGGCUCAAGCAUCCCUCUGCCACAGCCUCCUGAGAAGCUGGGACCACAGGCAUGCGCUAUUACACCUGGCUAAUUUAUUUUAUUUUAUUUUUUGUAGAGGCGAGGUCUCCCUUGCCUAGGCUGGUGUCAAACUCCUGGGCUCAAGUGAUCCUCCCACUUAGCCUCCCAAAGCGUUGGGAUUACAGGCGUGACCCACCAUGCCUGGCCUGGUUUUACUUCUUUAAUGUAUUAACAGAGUGGAUUCAUUGGUGGAUUUCCUAAUUUUGAAUCAACCUCUAGCGGUGUGCUGUAGCUGGCUCUUACCAGGUGACAGCCAAUUAUUAAAUUUUCAGGAAUUUGUUUAAAGUUGUUGAGGUCAUGCUGGUAGCUUAAAAUUGGCCGUGAUGGGAGUAUUUACACCAUGGGAAUUGGCAAAUGCUAUAAAUUGGGGCGGUUUUCUUCUUUCUCAGAUAGCUAGUUGUGAAUCCAGCAUGCUACUGCUUGUAUUCCUGGA